rnacentral:rRNA from 1 species
AUGCACACAAAAAUACAACCACCAACAGCAGCUGCUGUGAGUGGGGGUGCAGGCAAUGAUGAUGCUACUUCUGGAAAUGAGACUGGGAACAGACACACUAGUUUAUUGGCGCCGAAGAAAUGGAAAGAAAUGGGGCGCCCAACAACCAGCCGGGAGAAGGCACCGUACGAGGGACUCAGCAAGCGGACAAUGUUCUGCAGCAUAUGUCGGCAGCAGGGGCACAAGAGGACUACAUGCCUGGACCGGGGAGAUGCCCUGAAGCCUGUUUGUAAACCAGCAAGGUGCAAGAAUUGUGGGAUUGAAGGUCAUAGACGAAACAACUGCCAGAAAUUGGGUGAUUUACGGAUGAUUGGCUUGUGA